rnacentral:rRNA from 1 species
GAUGAACGCUGGCGGCGUGCCUAAUACAUGCAUGUCGAGCGAACGGACGAGAAGCUUGCUUCUCUGAUGUUAGCGGCGGACGGGUGAGUAACACGUGGAUAACCUACCUAUAAGACUGGGAUAACUUCGGGAAACCGGAGCUAAUACCGGAUGAUAUUUUGAACCGCAUGGUUCAAAAGUGAAAGACGGUCUUGCUGUCACUUAUAGAUGGAUCCGCGCUGCAUUAGCUAGUUGGUAAGGUAACGGCUUACCAAGGCAACGAUGCAUAGCCGACCUGAGAGGGUGAUCGGCCACACUGGAACUGAGACACGGUCCAGACUCCUACGGGAGGCAGCAGUAGGGAAUCUUCCGCAAUGGGCGAAAGCCUGACGGAGCAACGCCGCGUGAGUGAUGAAGGUCUUCGGAUCGUAAAACUCUGUUAUUAGGGAAGAACAUAUGUGUAAGUAACUGUGCACAUCUUGACGGUACCUAAUCAGAAAGCCACGGCUAACUACGUG